CCUACGGGUGGCAGCAGUGAGGAAUAUUGGUCAAUGGGCGCGAGCCUGAACCAGCCAAGUAGCGUGAAGGAUGACUGCCCUACGGGUUGUAAACUUCUUUUAUAAAGGAAUAAAGUGAGGCACGUGAGCCUUUUUGUAUGUACUUUAUGAAUAAGGAUCGGCUAACUCCGUGCCAGCAGGCGCGGUAAUACGGAGGAGCCGAGCGUUAUCCGGAUUUAUUGGGUUUAAAGGGAGCGUAGAUGGGUUGUUAAGUCAGGUGUGAACUUUUGCGGCUCUACCGUAAAAUUGCAAUUGAUACUGGCAGUCUUUAGUACAUUUGCGUUAGGCGGCAUUCGUGGUGUAGCGGUGAAAUGCUU
rnacentral:rRNA from 1 species